UCGGGGCUGGAACUCUUGGACUGUGACAUCAUGACCUGAGCCAAAGUUGGAUGCUUAACUGACAGAACCAUGCAGGCACCUGCCUACCUCUUCUUAAGAAAGAAAAUGGAGUUUGGGGAUGAAUUCUACUAUUUUGCUUCAAGAUCAGUUUGUAUCAAAAUAUGAGAACAGAGAAUGUUAAGCGAAAUGUGUUAGUAUGCAGUGUGCAAUUCAGCAAGUUGAGAGAACAAAAUGGCCAGACCUUUGUGUCCUUGAAGAUUGGAUUUAGAGUAGAGGGAUUGUAUUGAGAUGAAGAAACUGAUCUCCAGAAAUUAGUCAUUCAACUAAUUAAGAAUUGGAGCUGGGAUUAAAAUCCAGGCUGUCAAAGAAGCAUGAAGUGGUAUCGGCUUGGGGGUUCCAGCUGAAGGUCUGGAGAAUGGUGCUACCUACAAUGGAGGUAGAAGCAAGAUCUCUGAGAUUUGAUGACAGAACACUGGAAAAUAUUUUCAAUGAGUAGAGAUCUCUAAAGAGACCCUGCUGUGACCUAUUGGCAAAUACAAUGCAUUAUUGGUGAGCCUUUUUUGUCUGAACUUGAUGUCUGUCCAGAAGACAAAAACACUGAUUAGGUAGAAGGAGGAUGAAAGUCCUUCAGGAACAGAGUGACUCUGGACCUCAGCUACAAACUGCAGCUUAUUCAUAAAUGUCAAGAAACAAAAGGCUAUAUGCAUUGUCUAAGGAGCCUAAACAAACACCCUGGAGAACAGAGGUUAGCUCUGAGGGCUGUCUACCCUCCUGCUCUAAAUCUUCACAAUGGUGCCAUUCUUCACCUUUCCUUUCUCCUUUGAACAAUCACUGGCUUAAAUUGUACCUGCUCCAGCAAGACAGGUUUGCAGGUUUCAUAAGCCUUCAUGACAAGCUGAAGAUCCAUGAAUAUGCAUGUUUCCAGUCUUCCUCCUUGGAGUCUUCAACAGACUGUUGAAGUCUAGAACCCUGUCCUAAGAAACAUGGACAAGCCUGUGUCUUAACAAAAGCACUAGAUGGCAGCAUAAGACAUCUAUUCAACUGUCUCUCUCCACAGGCUGCUGGAAUUUUGACAGCUACAAAACGGUACCUGUGGUUUUGUGUAUAAAACUGGUAUAACUGUUUGUACAUUUAAAAAAUGUAACAAUAAAUUAAACAUAAGGGAAAGGGGUUGCUAAUAAAUACAGUGUUAGACUGCAUUUUUGUAUACCAGGUGACAAGCUCGGGCAUUCAAACCUGAUUUGUGCAAGGGGGUAGGCAGGAUGGGAAGCAAGUUGAAGGAGCUGCAAAAUGUACAUGCUGAGUGGUUAUAGCUUCCUUGAGGGUUGUUGUUGAUUUACCCAUAUGUCUGUAUGCAUUACACAGAGGUGAAAAUCUAGGAAAGUGAAGGGUACGAUAUGUCUGAAAGUCUGGUAACGAGGGAUUCUAGAUUCUGUGAUUCCCCUAACUCACUGUUUGGAUGCGUGGAAGCUGAAAGUGUGAGCUCAUUAUAUCUGUUUUCCUUAAAAAGGACACAAAUCAUGCCUUUCCAUUCUCUUAGAUCCAUGUAUUAUUUAGAAAAUGGGCCUCUUAAGCCUGCACACAUCCUUGCCUAUAGGACUGGGCUCAGUAGGCACAGUUAUCUUUUUCUCUGUUGUGUAGGUUGAUUCACUUUUUUUGGUUAGAACAAACUGUAGUCUGAGAUGCCAAGGGUAUGAGUUUGAUUCCCGUAAGGGCCAGUUGGCUUGCUGCAGAGAGGUGGAAAACAAAAACUAUUCCAAGGCUAUGUAUAGUAAACCUUGCUCUACCAGCUGUAAUAUUCUUUACCACUCCUAGAAAAAGAAUUCAGAGCACAAGUUCUAUCAAGAUGAUCGGAAGCAUUAUCUUUUUAUUCUUUCUUUCUUUCAACAAAUAUGUAUUAUCUACUAAGUGCCAGGCAUUGUGCUGGGCAAUGAAAGAUCUAAAACAAAAACAACCACCCCCCCAAAAAAAACAUGAUAUAGCAUAAUAUACAUCUUUCUUUAUUACACAGACAAUAAUAGAGGUUACUACUAGUAUAAUGACACAUGACACAUAGAUCCAUAAUAUCUUAUUUGGGUCUCACAAAAACCCUAUUGUUUGGAUCUUUUUACAGAUAAGGAAGCUCAAGUUCAGAAAUAAUUAGAAAUUUGCCUAAGAUCAUAGUCAAUAAGUGGUACACAUGGCAUUUGAAGCUAGGGUUAGGGUUAUUCAUGAACUUUUUUCACUACACCGUACAACUAUAAAGAAAAUGCUUAAUAUAAUAUAAUAUAAUAUAAUAUAAUAUAAUAUAAUAUUAUAUAUAUACAUAUAUAUAUUACCAUUUCAAACUCUUCUGUCGAAAGCAUUUUUAUCUCAGAAAUGUGCGAAAUUUAGAUCAAAGAUUUGAAUUCAAGUACUGCAUGAUUAUUAGUAAAUAAUGGUAGGAAUAAAAUUUACUAACUGUGGAAUAAAAAAAAUAUAAGAUGCCAAGGAGGAACAUUCCAUCUUGGUUUGUUUUUGUCCCUAGUGCUGGUUUACAACUAGGACAAAUGUUCUUUUUAAUAGCAAUUUUCUUUUCAUAGAGUGGACACACAUAUUUCUUCUGCUGAAGGAGUGUUUUCCAUAUAUUAUUUCUUUAUGUCACAUACAUCUUUCUCUCAUUUCCCUCAUUGUUUCCCCUAGGUUUCUGUUAUACUCCAUAAAGUAUGCUCAGCUCCUUGCAGACUGACUGGCAUGUAGUGUUUCCUCAUUUAUUUGUUGAAUAAAUGGAAUGAAUAAAAAUAAAGAGUCUUUAUUUGUUCUCACUUGGUCCAGCCCAAGCCAGGCUCCUGCCUCUUUCCACAGGAUCUCUCCAUUUUAAAAUCAGAAUUUACUUUGAAUCUGAUCUACUAAUCAAAGCUGUCCCUACAUUUUUCUAAUAUUGUAUACUCUCUUGCCACAUGGUUUAGCGCUUGUUUUUGGGUUUUCUGGCAUUGUUUUCUAGUUUCAUGUAAGAGAGUCAUGUUUCUUCAACCAGAGUAUGAGGUCUAGGAGGGCAGUGCUUGUCAUCACAUAACAUCAGUUUAGUUGCUUCUCACAACAUUUGCCUAUUUAAAUCUGUAAAUUCUGUGUGGUCAUGCCUUUUUGUGAUGGCACAUUCUAGUCUAAUCCCAUCUAGAGGCAUUUGAGCAUGAGCAGGGAUGUGGAGAUGCUAUCUUUUGGAAGGUGCUGCACCAGGUGAAAUCAUCCUGUUUCAAUGUGGGCAUUCAGACCAACAAAGAGGCCGUGUUGCUUUAUACCUGCAGCCUGCUGAUUGCCCAUUUUAGUGAUCUAGGUCCAUCAUCUCUCUUUUAGCUAGUCACAAAGGGCCAGUUGUAAACAACCACUGCCCAAAUUGUAUCACAUUACCCAGGAGAUGAGCAAAUGCCAGGAAUAGCCUCAGUUAGAGUCUAGAGGGCUUGCAACUUACAGCCUGUGAUGUAAUCAGAAGCAAAGACCAUAAAAAAGUAGGUUGAUUUCCUUUUACUUACCAUUCAAUGAAAUGAAUCAUUUAAACACUCAGUGAUUUUUUUUUAAAUAAGCUUUUGACAUAGAGAUUAAUGACGUUCCCCCCACCCCAUGCGUUCUAUGUGCAUAAGCCCAAAGUUGGUUUAUCCAUAUGCAAUAUGUUGCUAUCUAUAUGGUCAGAUCUGAAGUACUCUACAAAUGCCGCAGUUUUUUCCCUGCUGGCCUAUUACAGUAUAACCUUUAGCAUCAUUUAUUUUGGAUAAGGCAUCCAAAUUUCUAUGGAAAUAGAUAUUACCUGGCAGAGACAUUAGAAAUUACCAACAAAGAGUAAUUCAUUGGGUCAUUUAAUUUUCACUCAACAUCAGCAACCUCCACCCCCACCCUGGCUCAAUUCCAUCCCCACCACAUAGAAUCAGCAGGAGGGCAGAAAAUGAAAAUUUACCACUCAGAGGUAGAAAGUUCUAAAACAAUCUUUAUUUGAGACCAGAGGUGAAAGGAUCAAAAGUCUGAAGAACCCAGAAGUAUGUAUGUAUUUUUUUUCUUUUGUGGGGUUCUGGAGAAGAGAGGAGGGGUAGGAUCCCAAUUCCACAUUUUUAAUCAGUGUGUUUCCAGGUUGGUCUGAGGUUUGAGGUACAGGGUCACUCCGUAUCGCUUCUGAUCAGCACUUAAGAAUUUACUGAUAAAUGGCUUUCCCAUCAAAUCCCUUCAAACCCUUCAAUAGCUGCUCUUGCCUGCAAGGAUGGGCCUUUCUGAAGGCUCCUGAUGACUCACAUCUCACCUUGCCAGAGGUCCAGAGAAAUACACAUUUUUGUGGUAACUAUGUUCAGGAGAGGACACAGCAAAUAGAAUGGGAGUUAGGGGAAGGCAUGCAGCCUGGGUCCAGUGUCCUCGGUUUUUGUAGUCUUUGUGAUGUUUGUCUGUAUUUCAUCACCUUGUGUUUGUAAAAAUAGCCAUGGAUAGCCUAAUAAUUUUUUUGUAGGUACCACAUCUACAGAAUUAAGAGAUCUGUGGCGCCAAUUAAGUAGUGAAUAUUUAAGAGAUCAGAUCCAUUAAAGUGACUCAGACUAAACUACCUGAACUGCCAAAGAAUCAGCUUUGCUUUUGGUGAUGUGCCAGGAGCUGGACUGUUUUAGUGGGAAGAGUGAGAAUCAAAGGAUUGUGUGUGUUUUUAUGUGUGUGGUGUGGUGAAGAUGGCAGUGGCGGUGUGUGCAUGGAGUGUAGGAGAGUGUGUAUGCAUGGGUCGGCACCUCUGUGUAUCUCUGCGCAUGUAUGUGUGUGUGGACAGUGAAUCUUAUAUUCCCUUGUUUAGUGGAGUGAAUAGGAAUAUUAUUGUAUGGUUUUAGGCAAAUUUUUCACUUAUGUUAUUGGCAUUUCCAAAUAUCUGCAGCUGGGUCAAAUGAAAGCUGGACUAAACUGUACCUUCAGUUAAUCUACUCUGCUAUUUAGUUCUUCUGAGCAGUUCAAAUGUUGAUAGACAAUAUGUGGUCCAGAUCAGACAGCAUGGAGUUCUAGAAGUGGUUUAGGGUUGGGGAAUAGAAUUCUGACCUGGAUAAAUCCUACCUGUAUAACAACUACCUCAGAUGUUUUCUAUGAGGGAAAAAAAACUAGGCAUCUUCUGAAAAGUGCUCAGCAUGUGGCAUCUCAUUUAGCAGGCAUCCAACCAAUGGACCUUCUCUUUCAACCUGGCACAGUGAGCAGAAAUGAUGACUUAGCCCUUUGCUUUUGUUUUUCUAACUUUAGAAGACAUAAUAUAAAUCUCUUUUUGCCAUCCUCCCAAAAAAUUCACUUUAUUUUCCAAAUAGUGCUAGAACGUAGUAACAAAGUGGUCCCAAAUAGCACGCAUUUCUGAUAUGAGGAAAUACUUCUUUAUGUCUACUGUGGGCUCUAGACUUUUGGUGUCUUUGGGUAAUCACAUGACUUAGAGCAAGACUUGCAAGAACUCUAAGUCACUAUUUUUUUCACACUAACGUAAAAAUUACCCUUUAAAGGCCUAACUCAAAUUUUCUAUGUUGGCCCACAGCCAUCUCUCACCUUUGUGAAUUUUGACUGCUACUAGUGUUACAUGUUCUGAAAUAAUUUCUUCCAUGAUAUAACAUUUCCCCAACCAAAUAUUUAGCUCUAAGUGUGCAAGGUGUGUGCAAUACUUUUUUCUGUAGUAUAUUCUACAGUGAAAAUGUUUAUUGACUGGUGGAUGACAUUGGUGAUUUCAUUUUCUAGGGAGUAAUUAUCCAAAACGUAGACUACCACAUUUGGAUCUCUUGCUUUUUCUUCUUCCUUCACUACUUUACCUAUUGUAAGCCCCCUCCCUACUCCAUCCUCUGUACCCCCAGACAAUGGACAGGACAGAGGAAAUUUAAUCUGGUAUCUUGGUCCACUCUUAGAUGAAAGAAUUUGAGAAGCGAUUGCCUACAAUGAGAUUUUUGAGUUCUCCAAAUUAUCCAUGCAUUCUUUUUUUUUUAUUAUUUAUUUAAAGAUAUUUUUAAAUAUUUGUUUAUUUUUUGAGUGAGAGAAACAGAGCAUGAGUGGGAGAGGGGUAGAG